AGUGAACGCUGGCGGCAGGCCUAACACAUGCAAGUCGAACGGCAGCGGGUAGGAAGCUUGCUUCCUAUGCCGGCGAGUGGCGGACGGGUGAGGAACACAUCGGAAUCUACUCCGUCGUGGGGGAUAACGUAGGGAAACUUACGCUAAUACCGCAUACGACCUAAGGGUGAAAGUGGGGGACCGCAAGGCCUCACGCGAUGGAAUGAGCCGAUGUCCGAUUAGCUAGUUGGCGGGGUAAAGGCCCACCAAGGCGACGAUCGGUAGCUGGUCUGAGAGGAUGAUCAGCCACACUGGGACUGAGACACGGCCCAGACUCCUACGGGAGGCAGCAGUGGGGAAUAUUGGACAAUGGGCGCAAGCCUGAUCCAGCCAUGCCGCGUGUGUGAAGAAGGUCUUCGGAUUGUAAAGCACUUUAAGUUGGGAGGAAGGGGUUGAAGCUAAUACCUUCAAUC
rnacentral:rRNA from 1 species